CCUACGGGAGGCAGCAGUGGGGAAUUUUGGACAAUGGGCGCAAGCCUGAUCCAGCCAUGCCGCGUGUGGGAAGAAGGCCUUCGGGUUGUAAACCACUUUUGUCAGGGAAGAAACGGUUCGAACUAAUACUUUGGACUAAUGACGGUACCUGAAGAAUAAGCACCGGCUAACUACGUGCCAGCAGCCGCGGUAAUACGUAGGGUGCAAGCGUUAAUCGGAAUUACUGGGCGUAAAGCGUGCGCAGGCGGCUUUGCAAGACAGAUGUGAAAUCCCCGGGCUCAACCUGGGAACUGCAUUUGUGACUGCAUGGCUAGAGUACGGUAGAGGGGGGUAUGGAAUUCCGCGUGUAGCAGUGAAAUGCGUAGAUAUGCGGAGGAACACCGAUGGCGAAGGCAAUCCCCUGGACCUGUACUGACGCUCAUGCACGAAAGCGUGGGGAGCAAACAGGAUUAGAUACCCUGGUAGUCCACGCCCUAAACGGAUGUCAACUGGUUGUUGGGAGGGUUUUCUUCUCAGUAACGAAGCUAACGCGUGAAGUUGACCGCCUGGGGAGUACGGCCGCAAGGUUGAAACUCAAAGGAUUGACGGCUGNGAGNGCGAGACGACGACGAGGGAGGAGG
rnacentral:rRNA from 1 species